CUCAUUCGAUGGAUUCUCGCGGAACUCUUUUAUUAUACGGCGUCCGACGCGUGUCUGAAACAGAAACUUUAUGUUAACCCUCAAGUAUGAUGUUUGCUCACUGUGCUCAUGUUCCGGAACAUUCCAGGGGUAUGUGGCACACUGGCAGGUAUUGACAACACAUCUGUGCUGUUCCAUUUAUCGCCCAGUAUCAUGAGGAUUCUCUUCCAAUUUGUGCAUGCCACCUGAUAAAACUGGACACAUAUAAAGAAUUUUGACACAAAGAUAGAUUCUAAAACAAAAAUGGAUAUAGGGUACUCUUUAUAUAAAAAAAAUAGACAAAGUAGGAACAUCUAUGAUUUAAAAAAAAUAGUACUUUUAUGAUUUUGUUCAUGACAGACAAAAUUUCUUAUCACAUGCAUAAAAAAUCAUGUUAGAAUUAUUUUAAAAUUCAUAUCAAGUUUAGCAUCAGAGAUUAUGAAUAUUA